GAUGAGCGCUGGCGGCGUGCCUAAUACAUGCAAGUCGAGCGGUAACAGGUCUAGUUUACUAGAUGCUGACGAGCGGCGGACGGCUGAGUAACACGUAGGAACGUACCCCAAAGUGAGGGAUAACUGCUCGAAAGAGUAGCUAAUACCGCAUGUGAUCUAAGGAUUAAAGCUUUAUGCGCUUUGGGAACGGCCUGCGUUCGAUUAGCUAGUUGGUGAGGUAANAGCUCACCAAGGCGAUGAUCGAUAGCUGGUCUGAGAGGAUGAUCAGCCAGACUGGGACUGAGACACGGCCCAGACUCCUACGGGAGGCAGCAGUGGGGAAUUUUUCGCAAUGGGCGCAAGCCUGACGAAGCAACGCCGCGUGGAGGAUGAAGGCC
rnacentral:rRNA from 1 species